rnacentral:lncRNA from 10 species
AAAAUAUUAUGCUUAUUUGCAUAUUGUUAUGCAUAAUGUCCAAAUGUAUGCUUCAUUUGCACAUAUGAUUGCUACUGUCUCUCAUCUGGGAUGUAGUUCCCAGCUGGGUAAUACAUUUGAGCUAAACUCUCCUCAAGCCCAGCUUCAGCCCAGCAGAGAAUUUUUAGGGGCGAAGUCUCAUCACAACACAUAGCCCUUCUGAGCAAUCAGGUGAAGCAUAGAGUUCCAAAAAGCCCAAACUUCACUCAAAUUUCCUCUCGUAGCUCAGGAUGGGAAGCUGGGGCUCUUCCAAGGGUAAGCAAGCCAGGUAUCAUGGCAGCUUCACACCACAUUUUUGUAUUCAUUCUUGACCACUCCCCACCAUCCCCAACCCUGCUGCCUGUGCCCUUUUCUAAAGCUCAAGACUCUCAAUAUUCCAGAAACAGCUAAUACCAUUAAAAAUAGUAAUUAAUUUUGUGGAACACCUACCAAGGUAAGUCAGCCUCUUUAUGAUAUUUAAUAUUCAACAUGAAACUAAAAGUAGGGGUUUUUUAACCAUUCCCAUUUUAUGGUCAAGGAAAUGGAGGCCUGGAGAGAUGAGGUGGCCCACCCAGGGUCAUACAACUAAGAAAGGUAGAACAGGAUUCAAAUCUAGGUCCUCUUACACCAGAC